AUGCAAGAAAAGAAGAAGUCCCAGGAGGCCUCUAAACCUGAGGAGAGGAGGGCUGCUGCUGUAGAUUUUGAGGGUCUCCAGCUCUUAGAGAAGAAGAAGAUUGAGCAUGAUGCUAAAUUGAAGGCGGAAAAUGUUCGCAAGGCAAAGGAGGCUGCUGCAAAGGAAGCCAAGCCUCUCAAGGCUAUCAGCAUCCAGGAGUACCUGAAGCCAGAGGAUGGUUCAGAGUACGUGCCUCCUACCCCACCGAGGCGCCCUCAAAAUGGCGGCUACAGGGGAGGCCGUGGCAACGGUGCUUACAAUGGCUGUAGCAACCGUGACAGCAGCUCUGAGUGCCGGGUCUACAACGCUGGCCGCGGCCAUAACUCCAUCGUGUUCCACAACGCCGAGGCCAAGGCCAACGCCAACGACAGUGGCGCCCCAAGGAGGGGUGAGGGUUACAAUGGCGAGCGCCGGCAAGGCGGCUACCACUUACCAGCAAGGUGGGUACAAUAG
rnacentral:rRNA from 1 species